UCCGGCGAAAAACUCAAUGGGCUUUCA
rnacentral:sRNA from 1 species